AUAUAUAUAUAUAUAUAUACUAAAAUUGGUACGAUAUAGAGAUUAGCAUGGCUCCUGUGCAAAGAUGACACGCAAAUUCGUAAAGCGUUCAAUAGUUUU
rnacentral:snRNA from 1 species